GUUUCUGCGGCUCCUCGGCGCAACGUGCUCAGCAGCAACUGCGCGCAACGAGCUUGAGAGGCUCCACGUACCUGCUGAUGAGUGUGGUUGGCGACUGGACCAGCACUUAGGGAAUGCUGCAAACUCAACCAGAAGCUACUUGCACAGAUUUCUAGGAGGAGAAAGAUGUGCCAAAUGGAUGGGAGGACUUUUGCUGGCAGCCUGCAAGUUUCACACCCAAAUCUGUGAUGUGCAAAUGCCAACAUUCUUGAGCAAUCACCUGAGCAUCGGCGAAACACAGA